rnacentral:rRNA from 1 species
AACGUAGGUGGCGAGCGUUAUCCGGAUUUACUGGGCGUAAAGGGUGUGCAGGCGGGCUGUUAAGUGGUGCAUGAAAUCUCCGCGCUUAACGUGGAGAGGCUGUGCCAGACUGGCAGUCUAGAGUACGAGAGAGGUGCGUGGAAUUCCCGGUGUAGCGGUGAAAUGCGCAGAUAUCAGGAGGAACACCGGUGGCGAAGGCGGCCAACUGGACGAAUACUGACGCUGAGACACGAAAGCGUGGGGAGCAAACAGG